GCCCUGGUGGCGCAAUUGUUAAGCAUUUGGCUGCUAACCAAAAGGUUGGUGGUUCGAACCCACCCAGUGACU
rfam:Loxodonta africana unplaced genomic scaffold scaffold_1, whole genome shotgun sequence.